rnacentral:rRNA from 1 species
CGUACACUCCUGCGGGAGGCAGCAGUGAGGAAUAUUGGACAAUGGGUGGAAGCCUGAUCCAGCCAUCCCGCGUGCAGGAAGACGGCCCUAUGGGUUGUAAACUGCUUUUAUCUGGGGAUAAACCUACUUACGUGUAAGUAGCUGAAGGUACCAGAAGAAUAAGCACCGGCUAACUCCGUGCCAGCAGCCGCGGUAAUACGGAGGGUGCAAGCGUUAUCCGGAUUUAUUGGGUUUAAAGGGUCCGUAGGCGGACUGAUAAGUCAGUGGUGAAAUCCGACAGCUUAACUGUCGAACUGCCAUUGAUACUGUUAGUCUUGAGUAAGGUUGAAGUGGCUGGAAUAAGUAGUGUAGCGGUGAAAUGCAUAGAUAUUACUUAGAACACCAAUUGCGAAGGCAGGUCACUAAGUCUUAACUGACGCUGAUGGACGAAAGCGUGGGGAGCGAACAGGAUUAGAAACCCGAGUAGUCCCAUGAU